AGAGUCAAUGAGCAGAUUUUGUAGAGGAAGGACCCAAAACUUCAGAAGUUUGCGAGGCGAUGCUCAUUAAAGCUCCAACAAGCAUCCACCCAGUUCAAGCAGCAUGUGGAAUUUUUGAGAGACUGGCGCAGUAAGGAUGGUAUUUUCCUUCAUUUGGUGGAUCCGCAAGAAUCAACGAGGAUCAACACAACUCAGCCAACCCCACACCAGAGU
rnacentral:lncRNA from 1 species